rnacentral:rRNA from 1 species
UACGUAGGGCGCAAGCGUUGUCCGGAAUUAUUGGGCGUAAAGAGCUCGUAGGCGGUUUGUCGCGUCUGCUGUGAAAACCUGAGGCUCAACCUCGGGCUUGCAGUGGGUACGGGCAGACUAGAGUGCGGUAGGGGUGACUGGAAUUCCUGGUGUAGCGGUGGAAUGCGCAGAUAUCAGGAGGAACACCGAUGGCGAAGGCAGGUCACUGGGCCGCAACUGACG